rnacentral:tmRNA from 1 species
GGGGGUGUAAUGGUUUCGACACUAUACAAGAAAGAUAAAAAGCGAGUAGUGGAUGGUUGCUUUGGCCACUAUAAAAAAGCAAAAAUAAAAAUAAACGCUGAUAAUACAGAAUUAGCAUACGCUGCCUAGUCGCGGUGUCGCCUUGUCUUAUGUUCCUACGCAUAAAAUAAAGGUGUUAUAUUUGUAGGAAACAAAUCUAUUAAGUGCUUUGGUAAUAGAGGGUAUAAAAAAGCUAUAUUUAAUUUAAGCACGUUUGCUUGCGUAAUUUAAAUGAAUAGAAAUAGCAAACUGCACUCGGAGAAAUUUAUGUGGAAUGUAUAGUGGACAGGAGUUCGACUCUCCUCACCUCCACCA